CUUGUCUAGAAUCCUUUUGUGAUCCUUUGACAGUUGCAAUGAACCCGUUGACUGGGUAUCGUAUGCAUUGGUGAUAAGAAGACGGGACUGCUUUGAUCCCAUGAAUGAAGGGUCGUCCAAAGAUGCCGUGAAAAGUGGAUUCUACUUCCACCACUAUAAAACGACAUGUUCGACUAACCCUCCCUCGUCGGGAUCCGAUGGAGAC
rnacentral:lncRNA from 1 species